UAACUAUAACGGUCCUAAGGUAGCGAAAUUCCUUGUCGGGCAAGUUCCGACCUGCACGAAUGGCAUAACGAUGGCCACACUGUCUCCUCCUGAGACUCAGUGAAGUUGAAGUGUUUGUGAUGAUGCAAUCUCCCCGCGGCUAGACGGAAAGACCCCAUGAACCUUUACUGUAGCUUUGCAUUGGACUUUGAACCGAUCUGUGUAGGAUAGGCGGGAGCCUGUGAAACCACAACGCCAGUUGUGGCGGAGGCGUCCUUGAAAUACCGCCCUGAUUUGUUUGAGGUUCUAACCUGGGACAGUCAUCCUGUCCGGGGACCGUGCAUGGUAGGCAGUUUGACUGGGGCGGUCUCCUCCUAAAGGGUAACGGAGGAGUGCGAAGGUACGCUAGGUACGGUCGGAAAUCGUGCUGAUAGUGCAAUGGCAAAAGCGUGCUUGACUGCGAGACCCACAAGUCGAGCAGAUACGAAAGUAGGUCAUAGUGAUCCGGUGGCUCUGUAUGGAAGGGCCAUCGCUCAACGGAUAAAAGGUACUCCGGGGAUAACAGGCUGAUACCGCCCAAGAGUUCAUAUCGACGGCGGUGUUUGGCACCUCGAUGUCGGCUCAUCACAUCCUGGGGCUGAAGUAGGUCCCAAGGGUAUGGCUGUUCGCCAUUUAAAGUGGUACGCGAGCUGGGUUUAGAACGUCGUGAGACAGUUCGGUCCCUAUCUGCCGUGGGCGUUGGAGAAUUGAUUGGGGCUGCUCCUAGUACGAGAGGACCGGAGUGGACGCACCACUGGUGUUCCGGUUGUGUCGCCAGACGCAUUGCCGGGUAGCUAAGUGCGGAAGAGAUAAGUGCUGAAAGCAUCUAAGCACGAAACUUGCCCCGAGAUGAGUUCUCCCUGAGACUUUAAGUCUCCUGAAGGAACGUUGAAGACGACGACGUUGAUAGGCCGGGUGUGUAAGCGCAGCGAUGCGUUGAGCUAACCGGUACUAAUGAACCGUGAGGCUUAACCUU
rnacentral:rRNA from 1 species